rnacentral:rRNA from 1 species
AAACAUGUCCUUUUGUUAAUAAUUUAAGGUCAAGCCUGCCCAAUGAUUAUUUAAAUGGCCGCAGUAUAUUGACUGUGCAAAGGUAGCAUAAUCAUUAGUUUCUUAAUUAGAAGCUGGAAUGAAUGGUUUGAUGAGAAAUUAACUGUCUCGGGCUAGAUGAAUUAGAAUUUUAUUUUUAAGUGAGAAAGCUUAAAUUUUUUAGAAAGACGAGAAGACCCUAUAGAGUUUGAUGUUUAUUUUAGUAAAAUUUUAAAGGUUUUUUAUAAUGUUUUAUUUUUAUAAGCAUUUUGUUGGGGUGACAUAAAAAUUUAUUAAACUUUUUAUUAUUUUUACAUUGAUUAAUGAUUUUUUGAUCCUAUUUUUUAGAUUAUAAGAUAAAAUUACCUUAGGGAUAACAGCGUAAUUUUUCCUGAAAGUUCUUAUUGACGGGGAAGUUUGCGACCUCGAUGUUGGAUUAAAAUUUAUUUUUGGUGUAGCAGCUGAAAUAUUAGGUCUGUUCGACCUUUGAAAUUUUACAUGAUCU